UACGUAGGGGGCGAGCGUUGUCCGGAUUUAUUGGGCGUAAAGAGCGUGUAGGCGGCUUGGUAGGUCUGCUGUGAAAACUCGGGGCUCAACCCCGAGACGUCGGUGGAAACCACCUGGCUAGAGUCCGGAAGAGGAGAGUGGAAUUCCUGGUGUAGCGGUGAAAUGCGCAGAUAUCAGGAGGAACACCGGUGGCGAAGGCGGGUGUCUGGGCCGAUACUGACGCUGAGGAGCGAAAGCGUGGGGAGCGAACAGG
rnacentral:rRNA from 1 species